rnacentral:sRNA from 2 species
UGUAUCUGAAGUCUGACGAGGAUGAGAACCUCCGGAGGGCAAGAGGUUCGACCCGAGCGAAGCGAGAAAAUGUUGCGUCAGCAACGGCCCGCAGGGCGAGUCAUCCUCUAUCACCGGCAG